rnacentral:rRNA from 1 species
UACAGAGGUCUCAAGCGUUGUUCGGAUUCAUUGGGCGUAAAGGGUGCGUAGGCGGCGCGGUAAGUCGGGUGUGAAAUCUCGGAGCUUAACUCCGAAACUGCAUUCGAUACUGCCGUGCUUGAGGACUGGAGAGGAGACUGGAAUUUACGGUGUAGCGGUGAAAUGCGUAGAUAUCGUAAGGAAGACCAGUGGCGGAAGGCGGGUCUCUGGGGCCGGCACUGACGCUGAGGAGCGAAGACGUGGGGAGCGAACAGG